rnacentral:snoRNA from 1 species
UAUCAUGAUGAUAAUGAAUCCUUGAAGGAUUCUAUUUAUAUUUAUAAACCCAGCUCUUCGACUAAUCUGUUCAUGAGAAGAAAAAAUGACAAACGCUCUGAUU